GACGAACGCUGGCGGCGUGCCUAACACAUGCCAGUCGAACGGAACUGUUUUGAAAGAUUUCUUCGGAAUGAAUUUGAUUUAGUUUAGUGGCGGACGGGUGAGUAACGCGUGAGUAACCUGCCUUCAAGAGGGGAAUAACAUUCUGAAAAGAAUGCUAAUACCGCAUGACAUAUCGGAACCACAUGGUUUUGAUAUCAAAGAUUUUAUCGCUUGAAGAUGGACUCGCGUCCGAUUAGUUAGUUGGUGAGGUAACGGCUCACCAAGACCGCGAUCGGUAGCCGGACUGAGAGGUUGAACGGCCACAUUGGGACUGAGACACGGCCCAGACUCCUACGGGAGGCAGCAGUGGGGGAUAUUGCGCAAUGGGGGCAACCCUGACGCAGCAACGCCGCGUGAAGGGUGAAGGUUUUCGGAUUGUAAACUUCUUUUAUUAAGGACGAAAAAUGACGGUACUUAAUGAAUAAGCUCCGGCUAACUACGU
rnacentral:rRNA from 1 species